rnacentral:lncRNA from 1 species
CGGGUCAAUCGCCUACUGACUGGAGGAAUGAGUGGUGCUGGGUUCCAUUUGCGUUUUCUUUUGCAGUAUUGUUUUAACUACAUAAAAUAUGUGAAAAUAGGGCAGGGAUGGAAGUAUAUCUGCUAUUUUCGAAACUGCAACGAAAAUAGACGCUGCUCAUUCAUUCAUGCGAAAGGGAAAAAAUGGCAAAGGCAUCAUGUGGCCAAACGGAUAGUGUGGUAGGGAUGCGUCCGUUGGAGGCGAUUUCUCAAUAUCCACAGCGCUCAGGAUCAAUACCUACCUCUAACCAUAUUCUGGAAUAACGCUUUCAGCCUCAUAUUAUUUGUAUCACGUUUUCUUUAUCAACCCCUUGUGCAUUCUUCAUUCUUGUUUUUCACUGGGAGACAAGACGUGGUUCCAACCCUCGGUUGUGUUCCUGAGGAGGGACAGAGUUACGAACAUCUUUAUUUUCCUCUCAGGAGAUUCAUCUGAAACAGUACAGAGACCAUGCAUCUACACUCGGUGAAAGUGACGACUGGUUGGUUCACUGCUGAGUCCUCCGGUAAGGAGUUGCAAAACAACAGAAGAGCAGGCUGAGCAACCCUGGGUAAUCGAUUCAUCAUCCUGUUUCCGCAUCAUGACGGCAGGAAACCAACUCGAACACAUUCAUCACGUCAAUAACUAUGUCUCUGCCUGGGGGGUGUUACCCAACUCGGUUUUUAUGUUAUUGUCUACGCUGCCUGAUGCUAUUUAACCACCUUACUGAGACAGCAGGGUCACUUCCUGAAUCAACAGUAGCAACAACCAAUCACAACAUUCCAUUUCCCACAGGAAGUUAAACUGUGUGGGCUCCAAGCCCUGGUCAGAUGCCCAGGGUCCUUGCUAUCUGGCAUCCUUGGGACGUCAGCCCAUUAAAGUUGAAAUGUUAAAUGGUUAAGGUAAGGGUUAAGGUUAGGGUUAUGUAAGGGUUAAGGUGAUGCUAAGGCGUUAAGGUUAGGGUUAGAGUUUAGGGUAUGCGACAUCCAAAGGAUUCCAGAUAGCACUAACCGAUGCCCAGGGAUGUAUUUAAUUUCUCCUAGCUCCUUCACAGAACUGACAGACUGAAUAAGUGAAGGGGUAACAUUUUAUAUGAA